AUUAUAGUAUAGCUAUUGGUCACAUUUCCAGGAAGCUUCAAGGAACAACAACACAUCUCCAUGGCAAGCUCAGACUCGACCGUACAGACCCGUCCGGUCUCGUCUACGACUCCGUUAACUGAGAAACGCCGCCGACCCGCGGGAGGCACUUUCCCCAUCAAUGCCUAAAGUGGACCUGAACCUUUGGACCUGAUGUGAACUAGAAUGAAGCUGGCUGGACCUCAAGUACUCUGUGGAAGCUUCAAGGACCAACAACACAUCUCGGUAUGACAAGUUGAGACUCGACCGUACAGACCCGUCCGGUCUCGCAUACGACGCCGUUAACGGCAAACGGAGAAACGACGCCGCUGACCCGCGGGAGGUACUUUCUCCAUCACUGCCAAAAGUGGACCUGAAAUUUUGGACCUGAUGUGAACUAGAAUGAAGUUGGCUGGAUAUAAAGUUAACUGGACCUGCAGCGAAGUGGACCUGAAGCUAACUGGACCUCAAGUAGUCUGUGAGUUCUUAAGCGAAAAUUCACUUUCCGUGGGGCAAUGUUGACAUCCCACAACACCCAGCCAGGAGUGAUGGGACCCCGAGCAGUUAUUUUCGUAAGGCACUUUCUCCAACACUGCCUACAGUGGACCUGAUGUGAACUAGAAUGAAGUUGGCUGGACAUGAAAUUUACUGGACCUCAAGUAGUCUGUGGAAGCUUUAAGGACCAACAACACAUCUCGGUACGACAAGUGGAGACUCGACCGUACAGACCCGUCCGGUCUCGCACACGACGCCGUUAACGGCAAACGGAGAAACGCCGCCGCCGCCGACCCGCGGGAGGUACUUUCUCCAUCACUGCCUAAAGUGGACCUGAUGUGAACUAGAAUGAAGUUGGCUGGACCUGCAGUGAAGUGGACCUGAAGCUAACUGGACCUCAAGUAGUCUGUGGAAGCUUCAAGGACCAACAACACAUCUCGGUACGACAAGUCGAGACUCGACCGUACAGACCCGUCCGGUCUCGCACACGACGCCGUUAACGGCAAACGGAGAAACGCCGCUGGGAGGCACUUUCUCCAACACUGCCUACAGUGGACCUGAUGUGAACUAGAAUGAAGUUGGCUGGAC
rnacentral:lncRNA from 1 species